rnacentral:rRNA from 1 species
CUAGCGACUUCAGAGUUUGAUCCUGGCUCAGGACGAACGCUGGCGGCGUGCCUAACACAUGCAAGUCGAACGAAGUUCUUAUGGAAUGCGGCUUCGGCCAAAUGAAGUUUGAGCUUAGUGGCGGACGGGUGAGUAACGCGUGAGCAACCUGCCUCUCAGAGGGGGAUAACGUUUGGAAACGAACGCUAAUACCGCAUAACGUUGUUUUGCCGCAUGACAGAACAACCAAAGGAGCAAUCCGCUGAAAGAUGGGCUCGCGUCCGAUUAGAUAGUUGGUGGGGUAACGGCCUACCAAGUCGACGAUCGGUAGCCGGACUGAGAGGUUGAUCGGCCACAUUGGGACUGAGACACGGCCCAG